GAUGAAGAACGUAGUGAAAUGCGAUAAGUAGUGUGAAUUGCAGAAUUCAGUGAAUCAUCGAAUCUUUGAACGCACAUUGCGCCCUUUGGUAUUCCAAAGGGCAUGCCUGUUCGAGCGUCAUUUGUACCCUCAAGCUUUGCUUGGUGUUGGGCGUCUUGUCUCUAGCUUUGCUGGAGACUCGCCUUAAAGUAAUUGGCAGCCGGCCUACUGGUUUCGGAGCGCAGCACAAGUCGCACUCUCUAUCAGCAAAGGUCUAGCAUCCAUUAAGCCUUUUUUUCAACUUUUGACCUCGGAUCAGGUAGGGAUACCCGCUGAACUUAAGCAUAUCAAUAAGGGAGGA
rnacentral:misc_RNA from 1 species